GAUGAACGCUGGCGGCGUGCUUAACACAUGCAAGUCGAACGGUGAACACGGAGCUUGCUCUGUGGGAUCAGUGGCGAACGGGUGAGUAACACGUGAGCAACCUGCCCCUGACUCUGGGAUAAGCGCUGGAAACGGCGUCUAAUACUGGAUAUGUGACGUGACCGCAUGGUCUGCGUUUGGAAAGAUUUUUCGGUUGGGGAUGGGCUCGCGGCCUAUCAGCUUGUUGGUGAGGUAAUGGCUCACCAAGGCGUCGACGGGUAGCCGGCCUGAGGGGGUGACCGGCCACACUGGGACUGAGACACGGCCCAGACUCCUACGGGAGGCAGCAGUGGGGAAUAUUGCACAAUGGGCGCAAGCCUGAUGCAGCAACGCCGCGUGAGGGAUGACGGCCUUCGGGUUGUAAACCUCUUUUAGCAGGGAAGAAGCGAAAGUGACGGUACCUGCAGAAAAAGCGCCGGCUAACUACGUG
rnacentral:rRNA from 1 species